GAUGAACGCUGGCGGUCUGCUUAACACAUGCAAGUCGAACGAACUCUUCGGAGUGAGUGGCGGACGGGUGAGUAACGCGUGGAUAACCUGCCCUAUACUCCAGGAUAACAUACCGAAAGGUAUGCUAAUACUGGAUAAUAUACAUUAGUCGCAUGGCUUUUGUAUCAAAGAUUACGGUAUAGGAUGGAUCCGCGUUCCAUUAGCUAGUUGGUGGGAAAGGCCUACCAAGGCGACGAUGGAUAGCCGACCUGAGAGGGUGAUCGGCCACACUGGAACUGAGACACGGUCCAGACUCCUACGGAGGCAGCAGUGGGGAAUAUUGCACAAUGGGCGAAAGCCUGAUGCAGCAACGCCGCGUGAGCGAUGAAGGCCUUCGGGUCGUAAAGCUCUGUCCUAAAGGAAGAAUUUUGACGGUACUUUAGGAGG
rnacentral:rRNA from 1 species